GACGAGCAGUGUGUCGCUCGCUAUUAGAGUGGACGCACGUUCCGAAUUAUAAAAAUUAAAACCCCGAAUUAUAAAAAUUAAAACCUUUAAAGUGAACUCAAAUUGUUCCUUAGUAAGUGCAGUGCGAUUCCCCGCAUUAGGGGUUCGUCGCCUUCGUCGCCUUCGUCGCCUUCGACGCCUUCGACGCCUUCGACGCCUCCGUCGUCAUUCUUCGUCGUCGUCGUCUUCGUCGUCGUCGCCGUUGCUCUUAUUCUUCGAGGCACGGAUUAUACAUCAGGAUAAUCAACGAAUCGAAUCAUCUACGUGUACACGUGUCUACGCAUCCGACGUGCCCUGAACCAAAUGCCCGUCGGGUUCUCCGCGUCCUGGUGCCACCUUACAUCUCGGCAUCACAACAGGGGAGUACUUCAUACAGCAACAUCAAAGAUUAGCAGAUAAAAUACGGACUACCACGACCCUACAAAUUUCGUGUGCCUACCGCGAGCUGGUAUUUUAGAUUAAAUUAUUGAAUACAAAUUAUAUUUUUAUCUCA